UUCAUCUCUUUUAGUUUCCAGAAUAGAUUACUAUUAAUAGUUCUCUUUUAUCUUUUCAGCUACCCAAACAAUCUCAUAUCUGAUCCUUUUUCAGUUUUUGCCCAAAUCUUCUUCGGGUUCUCACAAUUUCAUGGCUAAAGUUGUUAUUUUUCUAUCUAUGGAGGAAACGAAAGAUUGAAACUUUGAGUUGAAGAAACAAAGGAAGAAGGAUCCUGAUGUUCCACUAAUUCCUCUAUCUGCUAUUUAUUGCUUUAAAUCUUUAGUUAGCCUUUUUGCUCAUAUAUAUUGUUUCACAUGAAAAAUGUAAUUCAGGGAGAAUAUAAAAGAAUGCUUUUGAAAUUUAUUGGCACUCCUACGUUAUUUAACUACAUGGAGUUUGACACUGAUUCUAUGAUUAAAUACCUGCAGGAUUUGCUGGCUUCUAUUUUUCGUGGAGCAUUUAAUCUCAAUUGCCAUGAACUUAAAGAUGAUAACGAGAUGAUUUUUACCAAUUGAGUUUUUCUUUGCUCAUCCUACUUUGGCUUCAAUUUUUUGAUAUUGAUAUUUGUUUAGAAUUUUCGUUACUCUUUUACAUGUGCAACAUAUAAUUUAUUAGGAUAUAUGUAAGCAAGUAAUUUGACACUGCUUGUAUCUUCUAGGACAAGGUUGUCCUCUUAAUUAGUUGUUUAAUACUGCUACUUGAUAGAAAUUUUCUUGAUACAAGUUGAUGUGUCAUGUUAUUGUCAUAAAUGAGCAUGUUUUUAAAGUACUUAAUCGUGUUUUGAUACCUCUGUUUAGUGUUCGUGUGACACAGGUGUCUGUUGUACGCAAAAACCAAAACUCACACAUUCUCUUUUGGGUUAUUAACUUAUUAUGAGCUGUCCAUAUGUUAGUUUAUUCAGUCGGCAGGAGGGAAGUCUCAGGACUUGAAUCUUGAUCAAUGCAUCGUCGCUUUACGGUUGAUGUGUGAAAUUUUCUUGAUUGCAUUUUUUUCUUUCCCAAAUAUGAAUUAUUUUAUUCUCUUAGUAACAGAUUAGUAUUCCUGAUACUGCACUGCACAUCUAGGGCAAGUGACUACAUUGUAUCAAUUAAACAUGUGGACUCUUAAUAGUGCUCUUUACGAUAUGUUGCAAAGACAUUUCUAUGGAAUUAACUCUUAAAGCAUGGAUGUCGAUUUUUCUGUGAAUUAUAAAGAUCGUUCCUUGUUUUGUUGGUGGUUUUGACCUUAUAAAUACUUGAGACCCGUAAUAGAAGAACAACGUUAGUUAAAAAUAUUAUAUGAAAUUAAGCUUCACACUUCCAUUAUCCUUUUGGUAUCUUAUUAGGAAAAUUCUUGAAAUUUAAAAAAUGAAAAUGAAUCACUUGCUUCUUUUCUAGAAUUAAACUGAAUUUAAAGUGGCUAACCGUAUUGCUUCUACGGGUGUAGUAGUGGGAGACAAAUUCUCUAUACAUGUGAUGGUGCUUUAAUUUUUUUUUUUUUACCUCAUGUUAGCACUAUGGAUCAACUUCUAUUUUAACCUAGAUUUAUUAGGAUAUCCUUCAAUUUCUAUUUGACUUCAUGAUGCGAACCUGAAGUGAUGUUAUAUAUUAUUCUUGAGUAUCGAUUUUCUUUGUGUGAAUCAUACUUUGAGUAAUACCUCUGUAUAUGGUAUUGAAAUAUAAAGGAGCUUUGCAUUAUUUGAAACUCAUUCUCUGUUUGCUCAAGUGACUGCUUGGGCUUUCAAAGCUAUUUCUGGAGAUGUGACUAUUGAAAAUCAGAGUGGAUGAGAUAAACAAUGUGACACUCAUAAUGAUCUACCAGUUAAGGCUUUCCCAAUGAAACAAUUACAAGUAAGUGAGAAAAAGGACUCAUUAUGAAUAUAUAGUGAUUGGUACACUACUAAAGGAGAUUGGCUUGUUGAAAAAAUGAAUGGUUUUCGCCUUGGAUGCUAAACAACUCAAGAUCAUUUCCUUCCAAAUAUCAAAUGCCUCCCAAGCAUCACAACUUUCGAACAUUGUUGAAAUAUUGGUGUGCUUUGGGUGUUUGUCAUUAUAUGUGGACAUUUUAUUUUCUUGUUUGAGCUAAGGGAAUAUGAUUUGCCAGUUGUCAAUAUUCAAUGUUUCACAUUGAAACUUUCCUGAAUUCAAGUAUAUGUCAUUUGGCAUGGA